UACGAAGGGGGCUAGCGUUGUUCGGAAUUACUGGGCGUAAAGCGCGCGUAGGCGGACCUGCAAGUCGGGGGUGAAAGCCCGAGGCUCAACCUCGGAACUGCCUUCGAUACUGCGGGUCUCGAGUCCGGGAGAGGUGAGUGGAACUGCGAGUGUAGAGGUGAAAUUCGUAGAUAUUCGCAAGAACACCAGUGGCGAAGGCGGCUCACUGGCCCGGUACUGACGCUGAGGUGCGAAAGCGUGGGGAGCAAACAGG
rnacentral:rRNA from 1 species